rnacentral:rRNA from 1 species
UACGGAGGGGACUAGCGUUGUUCGGAAUUACUGGGCGUAAAGCGCACGUAGGCGGAUUUGUAAGUCAGGGGUGAAAUCCCGGGGCUCAACCUCGGAACUGCCUUUGAUACUGCAAAUCUCGAGUCCGGAAGAGGUGAGUGGAAUUCCUAAGUGUAGAGGUGAAAUUCGAUAGAUAUUAGGAAGAACACCAGUGGCGAAGGCGGCUCACUGGUCCGGUACUGACGCUGAGGUGCGAAAGCGUGGGGAGCAAACAGGG